rnacentral:misc_RNA from 1 species
GAUGAAGAACGCAGCGAAAUGCGACACGUAAUGUGAAUUGCAGAAUUCAGUGAAUCAUCGAAUCUUUGAACGCAUAUUGCGCUCUCUGGUAUUCCGGAGAGCAUGCUUGUUUGAGUAUCAGUAAACACCUCAACUCCCUUUUCUUUUUUGAAAUUGGAGCUGGACUUGAGUGAUCCCAACGCUUUCUUCCAAGAAAGUGGCGGGUUGCUUGAAAUGCAGGUGCAGCUGAACUUUUCUCUGAGCUAUAAGCAUAUCUAUUUAGUCUGCCUAAAAAACAGAUUAUUACCUUUGCUGCAGCUAACAUAAAGGAGACUAGUUCUUGUGCUGACUGAUGCAGGAUUCACAGAGACAGCUUCGGCUGACUUUGUAAACUCGAUCUCAAAUCAAGUAAGACUACCCGCUGAACUUAAGCAUAUCAAUAAGCGGAGGA